rnacentral:tRNA from 1 species
AUUUAAAUAGUUUAAUUAAAAUAUUGAUUUGUGGUGUCAAUGAUAAGAGUGUAACUCUUUUUAGAUC